rnacentral:rRNA from 1 species
CCUACGGGUGGCAGCAGUGAGGAAUAUUGGUCAAUGGACGCAAGUCUGAACCAGCCAUGCCGCGUGCAGGAUGACGGUCCUAUGAGUUGUAAACUGCUUUUGUACGAGGGUAAACUCCGAUACGUGUAUCGGGUUGAUAGUAUCGUACGCAUAAGGAUCGGCUAACUCCGUGCCAGCAGCCGCGGUAAUACGGAGGUUCCGAGCGUUAUCCGGAUUUAUUGGGUUUAAAGGGUGCGUAGGGGGUUUGAGAAGUUUGAGUUGAAAUGUCGGGGCUCAACCCCGAAACUGCCUCUAAUACUGGUGGACUAGAGAGUAGUUGCGGUAGGCGGAAUGUAUGGUGUAGCGGUGAAAUGCUUAGAGAUCAGACAGAACACCGAUUGCGAAGGCAGCUUACCAAGCUAUAUCUGACGUUGAGGCACGAAAGCGUGGGUAGCAAACAGGAUUAGAUACCCUAGUAGUC